UACCUUUUGUAUAAUGGGUCAGCGACUUAUAUUCUGUAGCAAGGUUAACCGUAUAGGGGAGCCGAAGGGAAACCGAGUCUUAACCGGGCGUUAAGUUGCAGGGUAUAGACCCGAAACCCGGUGAUCUAGCCAUGGGCAGGUUGAAGGUUGGGUAACACUAACUGGAGGACCGAACCGACUAAUGUUGAAAAAUUAGCGGAUGACCUGUGGCUGGGGGUGAAAGGCCAAUCAAACCGGGAGAUAGCUGGUUCUCCCCGAAAGCUAUUUAGGUAGCGCCUCGUGAAUUCAUCUCCGGGGGUAGAGCACUGUUUCGGCUAGGGGGCCAUCCCGGCUUACCAACCCGAUGCAAACUGCGAAUACCGGAGAAUGUUAUCACGGGAGACACACGGCGGGUGCUAACGUCCGUCGUGAAGAGGGAAACAACCCAGACCGCCAGCUAAGGUCCCAAAGUCAUGGUUAAGUGGGAAACGAUGUGGGAAGGCCCAGACAGCCAGGAUGUUGGCUUAGAAGCAGCCAUCAUUUAAAGAAAGCGUAAUAGCUCACUGGUCGAGUCGGCCUGCGCGGAAGAUGUAACGGGGCUAAACCAU
rnacentral:rRNA from 1 species